UACGGGGGGGGCAAGCGUUGUUCGGAAUUACUGGGCGUAAAGGGCGCGUAGGCGGUUUGCUAAGUUGAAUGUGAAAACUCUGGGCUUAACCCAGAGCCUGCAUUCAAUACUGGCAGGCUAGAGUUCUGGAGGGGAUAGCGGAAUUCCUGGUGUAGCGGUGAAAUGCGUAGAUAUCAGGAGGAACACCGGUGGCGAAGGCGGCUAUCUGGACAGAGUCUGACGCUGAGGCGCGAAAGCGUGGGGAGCGAACAGG
rnacentral:rRNA from 1 species